AGUCUACGGGAGGCAGCAGUGGGGAAUAUUGCACAAUGGGCGAAAGCCUGAUGCAGCGACNCCGCGUGAGUGAGGAAGUAUUUCGGUAUGUAAAGCUCUAUCAGCAGGGAAGAAAGAAAUGACGGUACCUGAGUAAGAAGCUCCGGCUAAAUACGUGCCAGCAGCCGCGGUAAUGACU
rnacentral:rRNA from 1 species